CGGCUAUAUCACUUUCCAAUACUGACUCCUGUACGACCACCGAAGUUAAGCAACUUCGAGCCUGGUCAAUACCUAGAUGGGGGACCCCUUGUAAAUACCAGGUGCUGUAGG